rnacentral:lncRNA from 1 species
UGAUUCUUUGCAAUGUUGGUGUUUGAGAAGGGGCUGGAGUCAGUAAUCUCAUGAGACCUGGAUGGCUGCUGCACUGGCCGUGUGUUAAAGUGGCUGAGUAUGCAGAUCCUGGGAUCAGACUCUCUUGGUAAUCCUCAAGAAUACUCUGUGUUCCAAGGGGAGUUUCUUUCUCCUCAAAUCUAUUUUUUCAGUAGGUUCUGGCUUUCAGGAACAAAAACCAGGAAGCUGUGCCACCCAUUUUUCAUGAGGUAGGAAUAAACCAGACAAACAUUCCUGCUUAAUAAAAAAAUUUUAAAACUGCAAGAGAAUUUCUGAUGGCAGAAUCAAGGCUUUCCAUCGAGACCCUUGAGAAAGGAAGUAGAAAAGCUGAGUAGGCUCUUAACUGGGAUCUCCUCUACUAGGUCUAGAGCAAGUCCAGUUAAAGGACAAUGGGG